GUGGGGAAUAUUGGACAAUGGGCGCAAGCCUGAUCCAGCAAUGCCGCGUGGGUGAAGAAGGCCUUCGGGUUGUAAAGCCCUUUUGUACGGAAAGAAAUCCUGGUGGUUAAUACCCGCCGGGGAUGACGGUACCGUAAGAAUAAGCACCGGCUAACUUCGUGCCAGCAGCCGCGGUAAUACGAAGGGUGCAAGCGUUAAUCGGAAUUACUGGGCGUAAAGCGUGCGUAGGUGGUUUCUUAAGUCUGUCGUGAAAGCCCUGGGCUCAACCUGGGAAUGGCGAUGGAUACUGGGAGGCUAGAGUGCGGUAGAGGAUGGCGGAAUUCCCGGUGUAGCGGUGAAAUGCGUAGAGAUCGGGAGGAACAUCUGUGGCGAAGGCGGCCAUCUGGACCAGAACUGACACUGAGGCACGAAAGCGUGGGGAGCAAACAGGAUUAGAUACCCGUGUAGUCC
rnacentral:rRNA from 1 species